rnacentral:rRNA from 1 species
UACAGAGGGUGCGAGCGUUAAUCGGAAUUACUGGGCGUAAAGCGUGCGUAGACGGUUAUCUAAGUCGGAUGUGAAAGCCCCGGGCUCAACCUGGGAAUUGCAUUCGAGACUGAAUAGCUAGGGUACGGUAGAGGGAAGUGGAAUUUCCGGUGUAGCGGUGAAAUGCGUAGAUAUCGGAAGGAACAUCAGUGGCGAAAGCGACUCCUGGACCAGUACCGACGUUCAGGCACG